UGGGGAAUUUUGGACAAUGGGCGAAAGCCUGAUCCAGCAAUGCCGCGUGUGUGAAGAAGGCCUUCGGGUUGUAAAGCACUUUUGUCCGGAAAGAAAUCCUUGGCUCUAAUACAGUCGGGGGAUGACGGUACCGGAAGAAUAAGCACCGGCUAACUACGUGCCAGCAGCCGCGGUAAUACGUAGGGUGCAAGCGUUAAUCGGAAUUACUGGGCGUAAAGCGUGCGCAGGCGGUUUGCUAAGACCGAUGUGAAAUCCCCGGGCUCAACCUGGGAACUGCAUUGGUGACUGGCAGGCUAGAGUAUGGCAGAGGGGGGUAGAAUUCCACGUGUAGCAGUGAAAUGCGUAGAGAUGUGGAGGAAUACCGAUGGCGAAGGCAGCCCCCUGGGCCAAUACUGACGCUCAUGCGCGAAAGCGUGGGGAGCAAACAGGAUUAGAUACCCUGGUAGUCCACGCCCUAAACGAUGUCAACUAGUUGUUGGGGAUUCAUUUCCUUAGUAACGUAGCUAACGCGUGAAGUUGACCGCCUGGGGAGUACGGUCGCAAGAUUAAAACUCAAA
rnacentral:rRNA from 1 species